rnacentral:rRNA from 1 species
CAAGAUGAGAUUUCCCAACUUCGGUUAUAAGAUCCCUCAAAGAUGAUAAGGUUAAUAGGUUCGGGGUGUAAGCGCAGUAAUGUGUGUAGCUGACGAAUACUAAUCGAUCGAAGACUUAAUCAAAUUUUA